rnacentral:rRNA from 1 species
UACGGAAGGGGCGAGCGUUGUUCGGAAUCAUUGGGCGUAAAGGGCGUGUAGGUGGUUCUGUAUGUCUACCGUGAAAGCGUACGGCUCAACCGUAUUUAGUCGGUAGAAACUGCAGGACUUGAGGCUGGGAGGGGCUGGUGGAAUUCCCCGUGUAGCGGUGAAAUGCGUAGAGAUGGGGGAGAACACUCGUGGCGAAGGCGGCCAGCUAGACCAGUUCUGACACUGAGGCGCGACAGCGUGGGGAGCAAACAGG